rnacentral:snRNA from 1 species
AUCAUUUCUCUGCCUUUUGGCUAAGAUCAAGUGUAGUAUCUGUUCUUAUCAGUUUAAUAUCUGAUACGUCCCCUACCCGGGGACCAUAUAUUAAUAUUUUUUUUUAGAAAAAGUAAAGAGGUUUAAAAUAAAUCCAA